UUUAUUGCUGCAGGAUAAUCCCUUAUGGCAUGUAACACAUCUUCAAAUAUAUGACCACAAACUCCACAUGUCAAACUAUGAUCCAAGCCCCGACGAACACUUUCUAUGUUGGUGAUUAAUCUCUGCUUGAAUACAAACCAAACAAAAAAUUUAACCCUUUAGGGGCCUUUGAACUUCCAAGGGAUCUUCCAAACAUCUUCCUUCGGUUUUCAUGAACGUUCCCGAAGUUUCUCAUAGGCACUUUUAACAGAAAAGGAACUUGUCAUCAUUUCCCCUAGAUUAUCCUAUCAACUCCUGCUGCUGAAUGUGGUGGGGGUAUCCCAAUAAGCUUUCGAAUGAUUGUCUCAUGCAACCAUAUCUGAAAUAA
rnacentral:lncRNA from 1 species